AGCUCGCCUUUUAUUCGUCACCCUUUACAGAGCAAGCAGCAAGCAAUCCGCUAUCCAGAAUCCUGAUAAUGGAAUCUCUUCCCCUUCAUGUCUUCUUCCAAUUCCCUCGGGCUUUAAGAACUCCCUGUAGGAACAGUCAGCAAUCCAAGAAUGCUGUGAUGAACAAUUUGCGCAAUAGAUUCCCGUCAAUAACUGUCAAAAAAUUUUCAAGAAGGGUUCUUUUGCAGUUUGUUGGGUUCAGCAUGAUCCCAUUAUCUGUCUAUCCUGUUUUUGCUGCACCAGUUCUGGAGACAAAAGAACCUGAAGUGAUUCGAUUUUUUUUAGCUCUCGUAUGAAAUUGGUAUUUGCAAAUUGAAGUUGUCCAGGAUACUGAAGCUCGCUACUGGUGUGAGGAUUCAAGGUUAUCGAAGGGGAAGGACGUGAAGCUCGUGAAGGAGACUUGGUUGAAGUGAAUUAUGUAUGCAGACGCGCAAAUGGAUAUUUUGUUCACAGCACUGUGGAUCAGUUUAGUGGAGAAAGCUCACCUGUCAUACUCCCUUUGGAUGAGAACCAAAUUAUAAAAGGCCUGAAGGAGGUGUUGGUUGGCAUGAGGAUUGGAGGAAAACGUAGAGCUCUGAUACCUCCGUCUGUGGGAUAUGUAAACGAGAACUUGAAGCCAGUCCCUGAAGAGUUUGGCCCUCGUCGUAGCCUCUUCUCUCAUGCCAACGAACCUUUGGUAUUUGAGGUACAGCUCUUGCGGAUACUUUGAGCUUAAACGAGGUUUUUAAAUUGAUUCCGAAACGUUUCUGCUAUAACUGUAAUUCAGAAUUUUUUCCAAUUUAGUUGAAGAUUAUAUUUAUGUCCAGAUUCAUUUUCAGCGGAAUAAAAAUGUAUAUUUUCUUUUUCAUUUGAA